GGGGGCGGGAAGUGGUUGCGUUGUUGCUAUUCGAUAUAAAAGAGACGUGUUGGGGUAGGGGCUACCUCAGUAGGAAGCAAUAGAAGAAGGGGCAACGGGGCGAAACUGGAACAGAAGGUUUUUCAGAACCGCUAUCCUGCUCUUCACCCUGUUAUCAGGAUAACCUGGCCAGGUUGGAAAUCAGCUGGAUCCUCACAGCAUCAACUGGUUGGGCUCUUCCUGCAACUCAGUACAGAGAAUGAGACAGCGCUGCAAUUAAAAGGCGCCUGUAGGAAUGAAUCAGAUUUUCUCAGGCAGGCAGGAAGCCGCCUUCCACGUUCAGAAAUCAGUGAGCAUUGUGGGAGAUGUAGUGCAGAUUCAUGCCCUGCAGCUCGCUGCGGUUCGGGGCUAGCUGCCUUAAGGCUGGCAGCAGUCCCCCUUCCAGCAUCCCUCCCUUCGCUUUUUAACAAUGGACGUUUCUCCUGUGCCGUUCCCACUUAUCCCAGCCAGAAAAUCAAGACUAAAUUACCUUUCUACUGAGAAAUUCCCUCACCAGAGAUGCAGCCACUUCUUCCACGAAGGAAUUGUCCAUUUUUAGCCCGAAGUCUGCUCGGGGGGGUCUCCUUGGCUCGGUCUGACCGAUCCCCCAUGGCAGCCCGGCCAGGCGAUGCGGCCCUGGAGCAGCGCGUCCUGCGCGCCGCCGGAUCCUGAGCAGCAGCAGAACUCCUCCCCGUGGGACGCGAGCCGAGCUCUGUCUGUCUCCGAGUGCUGCAGGCGCCGUGUAUGGCUUCCAUCUUGGGAACAUCUGAGUAGAAGAAGAUUGACUUUCAAUGAAACAUAACUUGCAUGUGUCUUCAGGAUAGCAGGGGAGGUAAUUUGCUGUCCAUUCAAUAACUAAGACAUGCUAAGGGUCUGACUACUUCGUUAAUGUUGUCAGUGCAAGCAGUCUGAUCUGCAUUCAUUAGCUUGCAGUUUCAUUUGUUCUAGAACAUGAUGCAGCAUGCAAGAGAAUGCUUGGUAUGAUACAGUGACCUUUCUCCCCCCUGUAUUCCAGGAAUUAUGUUCCAAAAUGAAAGUGGAGCAUAGUUUUAAUAAAUUGACCUCUUGGAAGGUGUCAUUUCAAUGCACAUUUUCCAGAGAGAACUGCUGCGUGACUGUGCAUGAUGGGGCACGUGAGAGGGGCUGUCAUGCUGCCAAGCCUCCAUUGACUUCCACUGAUUUCACAAAACCAGUUUGCUAUGUCCAGAAGGCAUUCAGGUGCUUAGCUUCAUGGCUGGUGUCAACAAAGUAGAUUUAUACAGCAGCAUAUUGGUAGAUGUCUCUGCUCCACAGAGGAAGCGUUUUUCUCUAAGAGGUAAGAGAACUACAGCGUAGGCUUGUGACCUGGUUAAAAUUGCCAAGGAAUUUGCCAAUCCCAAAAUUGUUCAGGGGGAAAAAGAAAUGAAAAAUAUUAAGAUAUUCUUAUCUCUGCUGACAGCUGUAACAAGACAGCGUUGCUUUUUGGAAACUUUUUGCCUAAUGCAGUGAAGUAAAAACUGCAUGUACACGUGUUUGUUAAUGCUGGUUUAUAUACUGCUU